CCUCAGCAGGCCUGACAUGCACGCUCAGGGGGGGCGACCAACAAUACAGCAAGCCUGCACUGUAAUUAAAGCCUGGUCCAGACGUGAGACCGCGGCUGACACGGCAUGGGAUGGAGCAGAGACCCAGCAGACUGAUAAGGAAAAAGUAAUACAGGUUUGCACUGACAUGAAGAUGAGGUGUGUUCCUUUAAAUUAAUAAGUAUGAAUCUGUUUGGCUGCUGGUUUGAUCGUCAUCCGAAGCGAGUCCUGAGCUCAUCAGUGUCAUGGCCUUGAGCGAGAUACUUAACCUCCAGUUCCUCCAGAGGGACUGAACCUGUAAUAACUUCAUGGCUCUUCUGUGAAUGAUACCACCGUGGUUUCACUCUGGUCCAGCUGAGUGAAUUAACAUGGUCCCAGGCUGCAGAUUAUAUAGCACGUUAACCACUGAAAGAGAUGUGCACCGUUCAGGAAAAAAUCAAUCAAGAUUAGCUUCUCCACCUCUCAAUGGAGCACUGUGAACCUCCUCAGGGGGUAAAGCUCCAAUCCAAGAGCUGAGAGAGAGAGACAGAUACGGUAC
ensembl:lncRNA